rnacentral:rRNA from 1 species
AGAGUUUGAUCCUGGCUCAGGACGAACGCUGGCGGCGUGCUUAACACAUGCAAGUCGAGCGGAAAGGCCCUUCGGGGUACUCGAGCGGCGAACGGGCGAGUAACACGUGAGUAACCUGCCCCUGACUUCGGGAUAAGCUCGGGAAACUGGGUCUAAUACCGGAUACGACCACUUCCCGCAUGGGGGGUGGUGGAAAGUUUUUUCGGUCGGGGAUGGGCUCGCGGCCUAUCAGCUUGUUGGUGGGGUAGUGGCCUACCAAGGCGACGACGGGUAGCCGGCCUGAGAGGGCGACCGGCCACACUGGGACUGAGACACGGCCCAGACUCCUACGGGAGGCAGCAGUGGGGAAUAUUGCACAAUGGGCGGAAGCCUGAUGCAGCGACGCCGCGUGGGGGAUGAAGGCCUUCGGGUUGUAAACCUCUUUCACCACCGACGAACCUAG